UACGUAGGGGGCUAGCGUUGUCCGGAUUUAUUGGGCGUAAAGAGCGUGUAGGCGGCCAGGUAGGUCUGGUGUGAAAACUCGAGGCUUAACCUCGAGAUGUCAUCGGAAACCAUCUGGCUAGAGUCCGGAAGAGGAGAGUGGAAUUCCUGGUGUAGCGGUGAAAUGCGCAGAUAUCAGGAAGAACACCAAUGGCGAAAGCAGCUCUCUGGGACGGUACCGACGCUGAGACGCGAAAGCGUGGGGAGCGAACAGG
rnacentral:rRNA from 1 species